UGCAGGUUCAAAGCACUCAUCUAGAUUUCUAAUGAGAAAUCUUAAUGUGUCGAUGUAAUUAUAAAAUGUUCACUGAGGAAAGAACGAUUCCACAUUUUAGUUUUCUCAAGUACGAACUCCGACUUUAGAAUAACUGCACAUCAGGGGCUGCUACUUUUGCCCUUCACGACACCGAACCUGCAAGCUCGAGGAGAGAGGGGAGCGUACCGAUCAUGUUAUCUAAGGAGAGGUCCGGGAGCUUGUUCUGCAGCGCUCCUACGGGAAUUCCACAGAAGGACACCGGAAGAAAAAAGUCCCUGCUAUUUUCAUAUGAUUCUGGUAAUCUUUUAAAAAGAGGAAACGAAACGAACCAGAACACGAUCCUACUGACUCAUUCACCUGCUCCGUGAACUUCGAUUACACACAGCAGACUUCAGUUCCCAUAUCAUGAUCCUGCCGUCACUCACAACCAGGGCAGCUGCGUUCUCGUUGACAGGACAACACGCCAGACUGAAGGGACGCACAGUUUUUGUCACCCUGAUGGCGUCACACUGGCUUCGUAAAUCAUAGGAGAAGACGGACAUGACAACUGAGCACCCAGACGACUUAUUAACUUUGUCAUUUUACAAUGGAAAUUCCUAAAGCAGCGGCGAAGUCGGAGGUGUAAUAACAAAGAGAUAAAGAACAGAAGUCAAAAGCCGUGAUCUGUACAGAUCAGCGGGAGAGGUUGGCACAAUGAGUGGAAGUGAAGGAACCACGUUAAAUGCAGAAUCUCCUCUUUGGGGAAGAGACAGAGAACACUCUCCUCCUGUAAAUUCAAAACUGGAAUAAGGAAGGGGAAGGUAAAGAGGAACAUCAGUGUCAAUACAUCUUCAAAAACGCUGCUUCCUGAAUGGAUGAUAAAUAAACAGA